GAUGAACGCUGGCGGCGUGCCUAAUACAUGCAAGUAGAACGCUGAAGGAAGGAGCUUGCUCUUUCCGGAUGAGUUGCGAACGGGUGAGUAACGCGUAGGUAACCUGCCUGGUAGCGAGGGAUAACUAUUGGAAACGAUAGCUAAUACCGCAUAACAACAGUUGUUGCAUGACAGCUGUUUAAAAGGUGCAAAUGCACCACUACCAGAUGGACCUGCGUUGUAUUAGCUAGUUGGUGAGGUAACGGCUCACCAAGGCGACGAUACAUAGCCGACCCGAGAGGGUGAUCGGCCACACUGGGACUGAGACACGGCCCAGACUCCUACGGGAGGCAGCAGUAGGGAAUCUUCGGCAAUGGACGGAAGUCUGACCGAGCAACGCCGCGUGAGUGAAGAAGGUUUUCGGAUCGUAAAGCUCUGUUGUAAGAGAAGAACGAGUGUGAGAGUGGAAAGUUCACACUGUGACGGUAUCUUACCAGAAAGGGACGGCUAACUACGUGC
rnacentral:rRNA from 1 species